ensembl:lncRNA
CUUGCCAUGAGCAGGCCACUGCCUGUAGAGGUGGCAACACCAAAAGCAGGGAGGAUGGAGACCUGAGUGUCACCACAAGUCAUGGCUCAGGUCAACCAAAGAUCUCUCUUUGGGCGCAGCUACCGUUGGAUCGCCUGCCAUGCAGUGAGCCCAUGGAUGAUAUGGAGCCUUCGGCAACAUCUACUUUUAACCAGGCCAACCAAGAACAAUCGCAGGGACCCAAGACAGUCAGUCUGUCACAUUGUGAGAGACGCAUCAAAAACAAAGUUGCGCACAAGCGCUGGAGACUGGGCUUCUUGAUGAUCAAAAUUGUGAGGAUGCUGCUGCCAGCAAGGCUUAAAACACAAACGCCAACUUCUCUCAGAGUCAAAACCAAGACUGUGAGAACAGCCACCAGGCUUCCUUGUUUCCUCACACGGUCAAAGAGUGAGGCAGAAAACUCCAACCCGACACCCAUCCUGAUGUUCUCCCAAGUCAUCAGACCGUCCUUCAUCCCUGACAUGGUCCGGCAGAGGCUGGAGGCUCAUGUGCGCCGUAAGACAAGUCAGCGCCUGUGGGGCUUUCCCAAUCUGGUCAUCAAAUAUGUGGGAGACCAUGUGGUCCUACUGAGUGCCAGUAAUGGAUGACACCUUUAAUGACAUGGUCUUCGAUUCACUCAACAAAUGGGCUGAAUGCAGUUUUAUGGACAGUAGUGAAUGCACCCUCGGGCUCUUCCUCUCUCACCUGAGUCGGAUAGAAAAUUUACUGGAGGCUGAUGGCUCCUCUGAGGAUUCUUCAGACAUCACCUGUGCUGGGUCUUGCCAUGAGCAGGCCACUUCCUGUAGAGAUGGCAACACCAAAAGCAGGGAGGAUGGAGACCUGAGUGUCACCACAAGUCAUGGCUCAGGUCAACUAAAGAUCUCUCUUUGGACGCAGCUACCGUUGGAUCGCCUGCCAUGCAGUGAGCCCAUGGAUGAUAUGGAGCCUUCGACAACAUCUACUUUUAACCAGGCC